ACUCAUUAUGCUGCUAUGGGCCUGAUGACAUAGAUUUCAUUGCUGAGUGAUACUGCAUUGUACGUAAAAUCAUCGUACCUGAAUCCACUCAUUAUGCUGCUACGGGCCUGAUGACAUAGAUUUCAUUGCUGAGUGAUACUGCAUUGCACGUAAAAUCAUCGUACCUGAAUCCACUCAUUAUGCUGCUACGGGCCUGAUGACAUAGAUUUCAUUGCUGAGUGAUAUUGCAUUGUACGUAAAAUCAUCAUACCUGAAUCCACUCAUUAUGCUGCUACGGGCCUGAUGACAUAGAUU